GACGAACGCUGGCGGCGUGCUUAACACAUGCAAGUCGAACGGAAAGGCCCUGCUUUUGUGGGGUGCUCGAGUGGCGAACGGGUGAGUAACACGUGAGUAACCUGCCCUUGACUUUGGGAUAACUUCAGGAAACUGGGGCUAAUACCGGAUAGGAGCUCCUGCUGCAUGGUGGGGGUUGGAAAGUUUCGGCGGUUGGGGAUGGACUCGCGGCUUAUCAGCUUGUUGGUGGGGUAGUGGCUUACCAAGGCUUUGACGGGUAGCCGGCCUGAGAGGGUGACCGGCCACAUUGGGACUGAGAUACGGCCCAGACUCCUACGGGAGGCAGCAGUGGGGAAUAUUGCACAAUGGGCGGAAGCCUGACGCAGCAACGCCGCGUGCGGGAUGACGGCCUUCGGGUUGUAAACCGCUUUCGCCUGUGACGAAUCGUGAGUGACGGUAAUGGGUAAAGAAGCACCGGCUAACUACGUG
rnacentral:rRNA from 1 species